CUAGAAUGAGAGCAGCAGGAGUCAGCAACCCGGUGCCAGUGGCUUGCCUCGGUCAUUCCUGCUCGGAGAGCACCCCAUUGUGUCUCCUACAUGAGGAUGUAUUCUCCAGACUGGACAAACGAGUACCAGCAGCAGGUGAUUAAAGUAAUCUGUUUACUACAAUGUCCUACAAGAAGUAGGAUGAAGCUAAGUUCAGCGCUCCUGGGCAGCAAGUCAAUUAAUCCCGGCAACAUCCAGACUCUGCAGGAUAUUUAGUGUCAAAUGACAAUAUGUAGGAGCACAAAAUACAUAAAUGGUGCAGAUUAUACUGGUGCAAUCGCACAAAAUCAGAAAAGGGGAAGGGAGAAGGAGGGACCUGCAGGUGGAAGAAUGCAACGCCAGAGCCGGGCUGCAGCUAU